rnacentral:rRNA from 1 species
CAGCCGCCGCGGUAAUACGUAGGGUGCAAGCGUUAAUCGGAAUUACUGGGCGUAAAGCGUGCGCAGGCGGUUUGUUAAGACAGAUGUGAAAUCCCCGGGCUCAACCUGGGAACUGCAUUUGUGACUGGCAAGCUAGAGUGUGGCAGAGGGGGGUGGAAUUCCGCGUGUAGCAGUGAAAUGCGUAGAUAUGCGGAGGAACACCGAUGACGAAGGCAGCCCCCUGGGCCAACACUGACGCUCAUGCACGAAAGCGUGGGGAGCAAACAGGAUUAGAUACCCGCGUAGUCCCUGUCUCUUAUAC